rnacentral:tRNA from 2 species
CCCCGGUAGCUCAGCGGUAGAGCAACCGGCUGUUAACCGGUUGGUCGCUGGUUCGAAUCCGGCCCGGGGAGCCA